CGUAGUAAAUGCGACACAGGCGGCUGGAGGAAGUCGGUCGUUGUCAGUGUCUGAGGUUGUGCGGUGGUAGCGUUUGCAGACCUGAGCUAAGGUCCGUGGGUUCAGGUUCCAUCUGCUCCAGAGGCAACACCCUAUUGACAUACUGCGUCCAAUCUGGAAGAUUUAUUUUCCACCAUUCCUGGUCAGGAUCAGGCAGAACUGUUCCAUUUGAUUCCAGGACAUGGACAGAAUUCUUGUAUAAUUCCUCCGAGAGCUCCAGAACAUCUUUGCAGAACAUUUCCAAACAGACUAGUGAUUCUGGAAACACGCAGAAUAAGGACUCUUGAAAAGAAAAGAGAGAUAUUUUUCACAUGCAUUUAUUCUAUGCUAGUACUGUAGGGUAGGUUCAAGAUUCUAAAUAAACAUUUUUAAAAAUCUG